rnacentral:rRNA from 1 species
ACGGAGGGUGCAAGCGUUAUUCGGAAUUACUGGGCGUAAAGCGCGUGUAGGCGGCCCUGCAAGUCUGAUGUGAAAGCCCCGGGCUUAACCCGGGAAGUGCAUUGGAAACUGCAGGUCUUGAGUACUGGAGAGGAUGGGGGAAUUCCCGGUGGAGAGGUGAAAUGCGUCGAGAUCGGGAGGAAUAGCAGUGGCGAAGGCGCCCAUCUGGACGGUAGCUGACGCUGAGACGCGAAAGCGUGGGGAGGAAACAG